ACGGAUUCAACCCUGUUUUCUCUGCACAAAAGCUUUAUUUCUUUCCCGAAAAGAUCAGACUUCAGAAAUAUCAAAAAACUUCACAAUUUUCUCAUUUCCUCUGAUUCUUUACAAGUGAAAAAAUGGUUUAAAAUAUAAAGUUUUCUUGGGUUUUCUAGCUAGUAACUUCUGGUUUCAAGUUGUUGUUGGUGGGUUUGAGAUCCUGGGUUGUUUUGGUUGUUGUUGACUGCUGUUCUAUUGCUGCUCCAUUCCUGUCAAAGUUUUCAAUAAUUUCUGCAUAUAUAGCUGUUUGCCUUUUCCUUUGCUAUUUAAGGUAUAAGAAUGGCUGCAAAGCUUUAACUAAUUUGGGGGCUAGUACCUACAAAUUUGGUCACUAGUUGACCAAAUUAGCAGGUUCAAGAGUUGACACUUUGAUACUGUUGCUUCAAACAUAAGAAGGGACUAAACUCUAAUGGACAAACCAUGUCCAAAAGAGGCCAGAUUCUUCAGGAUAUCAAUUAUGCAAAAUUUUAUAAUAGAUUAGUCAAUAGUAUAGUGUUCAUGUAUUAAUAGGUUGCAAUGUAUUGAUUCUGAAAUUUUUUAUUUUUAAAGACUGUAAUAUUCUAAGGUUUUAAUUUUAUGUACUGACAUUUGAUACAA